rnacentral:snRNA from 1 species
UUGGAAGCUUAAUUGCAAUUUUU